rnacentral:misc_RNA from 1 species
AUCAACAUCUAAACUCACUGAGUCAAACGCUUACUCCUAUUCAAUAAUUUUUCCCCAAGUUACAGGAGGAGUAAUUUUCUUCAGAGUCUAACUUACAUUAUUUUCCCACAGGGUACCAUAUUGUUACAUAUGAAUUUUUAUUUAUUAUUAGUUUAUGUAAUUAUUUAUUUUAUUCUUAGAACUCUAUGUAACACUAAUGCAUAAAUAUGUUGUUUUAAUUAAUGGUAUUAACUAGAUUAUGUAUGUUGAGUAUCAAUAUUGAGGUGGGCUUCCCUAGUUGUGUAUAUAUGAUCACAUUUAUAAUAUUUUAUUUUAUUUUGUAUGAUUGGUUCUGAGUUUGGGUCUAGUAAUGGAUUAGUGAACAAUAA